rnacentral:rRNA from 1 species
UAAUACGUACUGUGCGAACGUUAUUCGGAAUCACUGGGCUUAAAGGGUGCGUAGGCGGUUGAUUAAGUAGGGUGUGAAAGCUCUCGGCCUAACCGAGGAAUUGCGCUCUAAACUGAUCGACUUGAGUGAGAUAGGGGUGUGCGGAACUUCCAGUGGAGCGGUGAAAUGUGUUGAUAUUGGAAGGAACGCCGGUGGCGAAAGCGGCACACUGGGUCUCAACUGACGCUGAGGUACGAAAGCUAGGGUAGCGAACGGGAUUAGAUACCCCGGUAGUCCUAGCCGUAAACGAUGAGCACUAGGCGGGAGGGGCUUCGGCCCAUCCGGUCGCAGCGAAAGCAAUAAGUGCUCCGCCUGGGGAGUAUGGUCGCAAGGCUG